UAGUCAUAUGCUUGUCUGAAGGACUAAGCCAUGCAUGUCUAAGUAUAAGCAAUUUAUACUUGUGAAACUGCGAAUGGCUCAUUAAAUCAGUUAUAGUUUAUUUGAUAUUUACUUGCUACAUGGAUACCGGUGGCAAAGUACCGCUAAUACAUGCAAAAACCCUUCACGGGGUGUAUUUAUUAGAUACGCAAACCAACCUGGGCAACCAGAGUAUGCUGAAUCAUAAUAACUUCACGAAUCGCAUGCGCAAGCGGCGAUGAAUCAUUCAAAUUUCUGC
rnacentral:rRNA from 1 species